rnacentral:rRNA from 1 species
UACCAGCUCUCCGAGUGGUAGGGAUGAUUAUUGGGCUUAAAGCGUCCGUAGCCGGCUUAGCAAGUCUCCUGUUAAAUUCAGCGACCUAAUCGUUGAGCCGCGGGAGAUACUACUGGGCUAGGAGGCGGGAGAGGUCAACGGUACUUCCGGGGUAGGGGUGAAAUCCUAUAAUCCCGGGAGGACCACCAGUGGCGAGGGCUGUUGACUAGAACGCGCUCGACGGUGAGGGACGAAAGCUGGGGGAGCGAACCGGAUUAGAUACCCGGGUAGUCCCAGCUGUAAACGAUGCGAGCUAGGUGUUGGGGUGGCUACGUGCCACUUCAGUGCCGCAGGGAAGCCAUUAAGCUCGCCGCCUGGGGAGUACGGCCGCAAGACUGAAACUUAAAGGAAUUGGCGGGGGAGCACAGCAACGGGUGGAGCGUGCGGUUU